UACGUAGGGGGCAAGCGUUGUCCGGAUUUAUUGGGCGUAAAGAGCGUGUAGGCGGCCAGACAAGUCUGCCGUGAAAACUCGAGGCUCAACCUCGAGCUGUCGGCGGAAACUGUCUGGCUAGAGUCCGGAAGAGGAGAGUGGAAUUCCUGGUGUAGCGGUGAAAUGCGCAGAUAUCAGGAAGAACACCUAUGGCGAAGGCAGCUCGCUGGGACGGUACUGACGCUGAGACGCGAAAGCGUGGGGAGCAAACAGG
rnacentral:rRNA from 1 species